UGCGAGGGCAUACAGUCCUCGCUUUUCUGUACCGUAAGGUGGUACAGGAACANGNGCUGGGCAAGACCGGUGCCAGCCGCCGCGGUAAUACCGGCAGCACGAGUGAUGGCCGAUAUUAUUGGGCCUAAAGCGUCCGUAGCUGGCCGGACAAGUCCGUUGGGAAAUCCACGCGCUCAACGCGUGGGCGUCCAGCGGAAACUGUCCGGCUUGGGGCCGGAAGACCCGAGGGGUACGUCCGGGGUAGGAGUGAAAUCCUGUAAUCCUGGACGGACCGCCGGUGGCGAAAGCGCCUCGGGAGGACGGACCCGACAGUGAGGGACGAAAGCCAGGGUCUCGAACCGGAUU
rnacentral:rRNA from 1 species